rnacentral:rRNA from 1 species
AUUGAACGCUGGCGGCAGGCCUAACACAUGCAAGUCGAACGAGUGGCGGACGGGUGAGUAAUGUCUGGGAAACUGCCUGAUGGAGGGGGAUAACUACUGGAAACGGUAGCUAAUACCGCAUACCAUCAGAUGUGCCCAGAUGGGAUUAGCUUGUUGGUGGGGUAACGGCUCACCAAGGCGACGAUCCCUAGCUGGUCUGAGAGGAUGACCGGCCACACUGGAGCUGAGACACGGCCCAGACUCCUCCGGGGGGCAGCGGUGGGGAAUAUUCAACAAUGGGCGCAAGCCUGUGGCAGCCAUGCCGGGGUUAGGAAGAGGGCCUUCGGUUUGAAAAGUUCUUUCGGCGGGGAGGCGUUACCCGCAGAAGAAGCCCCGGCUAACUCCGUGCCAGCAGCCGCGUUAAUUC